rnacentral:rRNA from 1 species
GUCAGGGAAUUACGAGCAAAGCUUAAAACCCAAAGGACUUGACGGUACCCCAUAUCCCCCUAGAGGAGCCUGUCCUAUAAUCGAUAAUCCCCGUUCAACCUCACCAUAUCUGGCUUUUUCAGCCUGUAUACUUCCGUCGUCAGCCUACCACGUGAGCGAUGCUUAGUUAGCCUAAUGUCCGCACAUUUAUGUGCUUAUAUCGUCAAUACGUCAGGUCAAAGUGCAGCAAAUGUUAUGGGAAGAGAUGGGCUACACUUUUUAACAUAAAAGAAACGAAAAACAAAAUGAAACUUUGUCAUGAAGGUGGAUUUAGAAGUAAAAGAAAAACAUUAAGUUCCUUUUAACUCGGCACUGGGGUGUGU